CAGCAGCCGCGGGAAUACGGAGGGUGCGAGCGUUAAUCGGAAUUACUGGGCGUAAAGCGUACGCAGGCGGUUCGUUAAGACAGACGUGAAAUCCCCGGGCUUAACCUGGGAACUGCAUUUGUGACUGGCGAGCUAGAGUAUGGCAGAGGGGGGUAGAAUUCCACGUGUAGCAGUGAAAUGCGUAGAGAUGUGGAGGAAUACCGAUGGCGAAGGCAGCCCCCUGGGCCAAUACUGACGCUCAUGCACGAAAGCGUGGGGAGCAAACAGGAUUAGAGACCCCCGUAGUCCCUGUCUCUUAUAC
rnacentral:rRNA from 1 species